rnacentral:rRNA from 1 species
UACGAAGGGGGCUAGCGUUGCUCGGAAUCACUGGGCGUAAAGCGCACGUAGGCGGAUCUUUAAGUCAGGGGUGAAAUCCUGGAGCUCAACUCCAGAACUGCCUUUGAUACUGGGGAUCUUGAGUCCGGAAGAGGUGAGUGGAACUCCGAGUGUAGAGGUGAAAUUCGUAGAUAUUCGGAAGAACACCAGGGGCGAAGGCGGCUCACUGGUCCGGUACUGACGCUGAGGUGCGAAAGCGUGGGGAGCAAACAGG